rnacentral:piRNA from 1 species
UAAUAAUGGACUGGGGUCUUGCUCCCGUGC